GGUUAGCAUCUUCACAGGAAGCUUGAGGGAUACUGUUCAGUGGGAGAGUACUGGAUCUGUAUGCAUAAGGUUUGCGCUUCUAUUGACAACACUGCAAAUAGUAUUAGUAACAGUAGAACGAGUGUGUUUAUUUUACCAGGACUUUUGUAAGGCAUCACCCCAAAUGGGUGGCUUAGUACAAUAGAAAUGUAUUGUCAUGGGGUUUCAGACGAGGCCAGUCUAAUAGUAAGGUGUCAGCCAGACCAGACCCUCUGAUUGCUGAGUGUCAGUCCUAUCACUUCCUCCUCGUUUUUGUUGCUUAGCUAUCCCUUGCCUUAUAGGUGGCAUCCCCCAUGUCUUCACAUUGUCUUUUAUACAUGCCUUUCUCUCUGUCUGUAUUUUACCAUUCUAGAAGUAUAUUAGAUUAGGGCCCACACAAUGACCUCAUUUUUAUUUGAUUACCUUCAUAUAAAUCCUAUCUGAAAAAAGUCAUAUUCUGAUACAUCAGGAUUAGGAUACAACAUAGUUUUUUUUAUCUUUUAUUCUGGAGGAAUAAGUAGAAGAAGGUUGAUUUAUAAAACUGUCUGCAUUUUAAAAUAUUUUGUUCUGACUUCUUGGUUUUUAGGCUAUUACCUCUGUGUGUGUGUGUGUGUUGAAAUUUUGUUAUGGCCUUUGAGUGAUCAUAGCUUGGAAACAUAUAUUUACAUCUCCCCAAAUACAAUCCCCCAAUGAGGUAAUAAUUUCAUGGAGUUUCUAUAGUAGCAGAAGAGAGAAAGUUGUAAGUUAGAGCACUUUAAAAAAGUGAUAGGAACAGUGAUAGGAACAGUGUAUGGCCAAUUACAGCAGGCAAAGGAAUCUCAACUCCAGGUCUCAAAUGUUAUCUGAUUGUAUUCUUAGCCCUUUGGUAGAGAAUGGGUUUUGUUAAUACAUUCCAAAAAUUGUUUCCUGUUGAUCAGGAUAUUAUGUCAGACUCUGAGGUGGGUAAGGAGGCUUUUUGAGUGUUAACAUUAAUCCAAGGGAAAUUGUAAUUCAGAUAUCAGAUCAUCAACAACAAUAACAAAACAUCUGUAUUCAGUGAAGCAGUUGCAGUUUUUUUUUUUUUUUAUCAGUCUAUGAACCUAUGAAGACAGAUUCACACCAAGUCUGUCGGUGAUGGGCAUCAAGAAAGGAACCUGGAGCAGAAUCCAUGGAGGACAGCUAUCUGCUGGCUAGCUCACAGGCUCUUACAUAGCUAGCUUUCUUGUUGAAGUUCAAGACAAUCUGCCUAGGAGUGGCACAACCUACAGUGGCUGGACCUUCUUAUAUCAGUUAUGAAUCAAGAUAAUCCUCCACAAACUUGCCCCAGGCCUUAACUGUCCUAGGCAAGUCUUCAAUCAUGAUUUUCCUUUCACAUGUCUCUAAGCUGUGUCAAGUUGACAACUAAUGCUGACUAGGACAUAAAGUUUAUAUGUAUUUUUCAUAUAAUACAUAUGGAAUUUAUACAUUUUAAUAAAAUUAAGUAUCCGUAAUGCACUCUUUGGAGAUUCAUUAAGUUUUUGACUUACUGGUUAUUAUAGAUAGAAGAGAGAGAACGUGAAGUUGGAAGGGGGCAUGGAACAGGGAAUCUGGGAGAAGUUAGGGGAGGGAAGUAGAGGUGAAUAUGAUUGAAAUAUAUUGAAAACAUGUCUUGCAACGCUAAUGAGCAGAAAACCUCAGAUGGGCUGAGAAGCUCUGUCCAUGAAAGCUGAAUUGACUGACACCUAUGAAAGCUAGCGAUAAGAUCCAAGCUCUGUCAUAUACUGCAUUCAGACUGCAGGGGAACUGGCCCACAGAUGGAACCUGUUCCGCCCUGUUAGCCCCAACCCUACCUGUACCUCAUGUGUACCCUUUCCUCUCUGCAGAGAGAUUGGUGUCAUUCAUUGUUGUGAUAAUGGAUAAUAUGCUUCUGCUAAGAUGAGAUUAUUCUUUUUUAUUUAUAUUUCCAAGUCACCUUCUUCUGUAUCCAUCUAGCAUGCAUGAAAUUCUUAAAGAAACAUGAUCAGGUAUGGGGGAAGGAGGAGACAGGAGAGAAUCCCUGAUGGCCAGAAGAAUGAAUGGAAAUAUGCAACCUCAGGAGUGGGGCAUGGGGGUGGGAGGUGGGGGGACCCUCCGGAAUGUACCAGAGACUCAGGAGGUGAGAGACUCUCAGGACUCAAAGGGAGGGACCUUAGAUGAAAUGCUCAACCAUGGGGAGAGAGAGCUUGUAGAGUCUACUUCCAGUAGAAAGACAGCGCAUCAAGUGGAGGGAUAGGGUUGCCAUCCCACAAUCAAAAACUCUGGCCCAGAAUUGUUCCUGUCUAAAACAACUGCAGGGACAAAAAUGGAGAAGAGACUGAGGGAAAGGCAGUUCAGUGCCAGGCUCAAAUUGGGAUUGAUCUCAAGGAGAGGCUCCAAGGCCUGACACUAUUACUGAUGCUAUGGUGUGCUUACAGACAAGUGACUAACAUGGUUGAUCUCUGAGACACCCAACAAGCAGCUGAAAGAGUUAGAUGCAGAUACUUAUACUCAACUAUUGGACUGAAGUCAGGGACCCCGUGGUUGAAUUAGGGAAAGGCUUGAAGAAGCUGAGGAGGAGGAUGACCCCAUAGGAAGACCAGCAGUCUCAACUAACCGGUACCCCUGAAAUCUCUCGGACACUGAGCCACCAACUAGGCAGCAUACACUGGCUGUUCUGAGGUCCUGGCACAUAUACAGCAGAGGACUGCAGGGUCUGGCCUCAUUUGGAGAAGAGGCGCCUAACCCUUGAAAGACAUGAGGCCCCAGGAAGUUGGGAGACCUUCUUGGUUGGAGUAGAGGGACAUUUUCUUGAAGGGGGAAGAUGGGGAAUGAUCUGGGACGAGGAACAGUGAGAGGGUGGACCAGGAGGAAGGCAGUGACUGGCUGUAAAAAAAAAAAAAAGUAAAAAGU
rnacentral:lncRNA from 1 species